UUAGUCUGAACAUUCAUGUUAUCCCUACAAUUCUCUAUGGUUAUUGGUUCCAAACUAGUGACUCCGAUCUCAACCAAUUGUUUUUUCUUUUUUUCUAAUCAGGAUCAUCAGAGGAACGUGUAACAUGUGAUUCUCCCAAUGAGUUGAGGAUAAAGACACAUUUCCAUGAUCUUAUAGAAAUAAUUGAUACUGCCCUGAACCAGACAGAGGUCGACACAAGGUUUGAGAGAAUUGCACCAUCUAUUGAGGACUUUCAGCUCCAAUCAAUGCUUGGUGACGG